rnacentral:rRNA from 1 species
CCUACGGGUGGCAGCAGUGAGGAAUAUUGGUCAAUGGACGCAAGUCUGAACCAGCCAUGCCGCGUGCAGGAAGACGGCUCUAUGAGUUGUAAACUGCUUUUGUACGAGGGUAAACGCAGAUACGCGUACCUGUUUGAAAGUAUCUUACGAAUAAGGAUCGGCUAACUCCGUGCCAGCAGCCGCGGUAAUACGGAGGAUUCAAGCGUUAUCCGGAUUUAUUGGGUUUAAAGGGUGCGUAGGCGGUCGGAUAAGUUAGAGGUGAAAUCCCGAGGCUCAACUUCGGAAUUGCCUCUGAUACUGGUCGGAUGGAGAGUAGUUGAGGUAGGCGGAAUGUGUGGUGUAGCGGUGAAAUGCUUAGAGAUCAUGAAGAACACCGAUUGCGAAGGCAGUUUACCAAGCUACUUCUGACGUUGAGGCACGAAAGCGUGGGGAGCAAACAGGAUUAGAUACCCCAGUAGUC